UGUCCUGUCCUGAGCUGAUCAGUGUAUGACUAUGAGGUCUAGAAGGCCUCUUCUCCUCUUCUCUCUUCCUCUCUCCCUGGGUGGUCAAUCAGUAGUAGUCCUUUUCCAAAAUCUGAGGUUGACCAGUUGUCCUGUCCUGAACUGGUCAGUGUGGGACUAUGGUGAGUAGUUUUGGGCAGCCUGGCUCUGGCAAGACUGCUUCCAGAGCCUUUGCACCAGGUCCUCCAGGCCAGGUGACCACACGGAGCUCCACCUCAACAACCAGACAGUCCACCUUGCUUUGGUUUGUAUUGAUUCAUCUCUCUGUAGAACAACAUUUGGUUCUGAUGAUGGAUGUGGGUGACAUGGCUAUACUGCACUGUGGGUAUGAACACAGGUGCUGGAGACAGUCAGCCUUGGGUUCAAGUCCCAGCCUUGCUGGUGAGCAUGCUGAGAGCAGCACGUCACGCAGCAAGCCCCAGGAAGUGACGGCUGUUAUUAGGAAAGUAGAAUACAGAGCAUUUCCACAAAAGAAACAGUGUCCUGAAGAGGGUAGAUACACUAGCUCAUAGGACAUUACCAUAUUUUGUGUCAUUAAGGAAGAACUACCACUCAGUUUGAGAACCAGGUGUGUUCUUGAAUCUUUCUUAAUGUUUUCACAACCUUUCUGUUUCGAGGGUUGGGGGACAAUUACCACAACUUGAAAUCAUCUAGAUUUAGCCUAGAGAUGCUCUCUCCAGAACAACCCUACUCAGACCUUUGCUCUCUGAAUAAAGAACCUCAGAAUGGCCCAAGACAAAGGCUUCCUUUUGUGAGCUGGAAGAACCCAGGACAGGGACAUGGGCGUUUUAGGUCGUAAACAUGCUAUUUUGAUUUUUCAACAUGCUAUUUUGAUUUAACUUUACAUUUACAGAAAGCUUGCAAGAAUAGUUCCAAGAAAUUUUACCUUACUUACUUCAUCAUUUCCCCUUGUUCUCUCUGCCCCUCCCCCAUAUUAUACACUUUUCUUUUUCUAAAUCACUUUCGAGUAAUUUGCAGACAUCAUACCUCUUUUUAUAAAAAUGCUUUAAUAUAUAUUUCCUCAGAGCAUCUUUUUACAUAACUGCCGUAAAUUUAUUGAAAUCAGAUAAUUCAGUGUUGACAGGUAUCAUCCAAUCUACAUUCUAUAUUUAAAUGUCUCCAAUUGUCCCAAUAAUGUCAUAAUUAUAGUUUUUUGGCUUUUCUUUGUCUGAUCUGGAAUCCAAUCCAGAACCAUACAUUGCGGUAAAUUGUCACCUCUUUUCAGUAUCACUUCUUCUGAAACAGUUUCUCAACAUUUUGUCAUUGGUCAUGACAUUUUGAAGAGUACAGGCCAGUUGUUUUGCAGAGUGUCCUUCAGUUUGAGGUUUGUCUGAUGUUCCCUCAUCAUGGGACUGUUAGGUUUUGCAUUUGAGGCAGGAAUACAUCUAAACCAACAUUGUACCCUCAGGAUAUCUCAUCAGAAGCUGCAUGUCAUCUGUUUGGUGGUGCAACCUUUGAUAACUUGGCUAAAGUGUGGAUUGCUAGAUUAAUCCUCUGUAUAAUUGCUAUUCUUCCUUUUCAAUUAAUAAGUAAUUCACCUACUAGCUUUUGCAGAC
rnacentral:lncRNA from 1 species